rnacentral:rRNA from 1 species
GACGAACGCUGGCGGCGUGCUUAACACAUGCAAGUCGAACGGAAAGGCCCUGCUUUUGUUGGGUGCUCGAGUGGCGAACGCGUGAGUAAAACGUGAGUAACAUGCCCUUGUCUUUGGGAUAUCACUAGGAAACUGGGGCUCUUAUCGGAUAGGAGCUCCUGCAGCAUAGUGGGGGAUGGAAAGUUUCGGCGGUUGGGGAUGGACUCGCGGCUUAUCAGCUUGUUGGUGGGGUAGUGGCUUACCAAGGCUUUGACGGGUAGCCGGCCUGAGAGGGUGACCGGCCACCUUGGGACUGCGAUACGGCCCAGACUCCUACGGGAGGCAGAAGUGGGGAAUAUUGCACAAUGGGCGGAAGCCUGAUGCAGCAACGCCGCGUGCGGGAUGACGGCCUUCGGGUUGUAAACCGCUUUCGCCUGUGACGAAGCGUGAGUGACGGUAAUGGGUAAAGAAGCACCGGCUAACUACGUG